rnacentral:rRNA from 1 species
GAUGAACGCUGGCGGCGUGCCUAAUACAUGCAAGUCGAGCGAACGGACGAGAAGCUUGCUUGUCUGAUGUUAGCGGCGCACGUGAGUAUCACGCGUGGAUCCCGUACCUAUCAGACUGGUAUCACCUCGGGACACCGGCUCUAAUACCGGAUGAUCUUUUGACCCGCAUGGUUCAAAAGUGAAAGACGGUGUUGCUGGCACUUAUAGAUGGAUCCGCGCUGCAUUAGCUAGUCGGUAAGUUAACGGCUUACCAAGGCAACGAUGCAUGGCCGACCUGAGAGGGUGAUAGGCGACACUGGAACGGAGACACGGACCAUACGCCUACGAGACGGAGCAGUAGGGAAUCGGCCGCAAUGGGGGAAAGCCUGACGGAGCGACGCCGCGUGAGUGAUGAAGGUCUUGGGAGCGGAAAACGCGGUUACUAGGGAAGAACAUAUGUGGAAGGAACUGUGCACAGCGUGACGGUACCGAAUCAGAAAGCCACGGCUAACUACGUG